UGCAAUGAUUACAGUUCCAAACGUCAGCGAAUUGAAAUCUCGCCUUUCCUGCGACAGAGGUAAUCAUAGAAUUUCCUUUUAUUCCAUAUGUUAAAAAAGUUACACAUGUAAAUCAAGAACAUUUUUAUAUUUUCAACAGCAACAACAUGCGUUUUUUAACGCUGUAUGUCAUCGUGCUACUGGUAUCCCUAAUUGGGGCUAUGUAUAUGCCAGACCCUCGCGACCCGAACCUGCUCCAUCCGAUACGGCUAGACCCUGGUAGACCGAGAGUUAGGAUACAAAAGGUGUUGAUCGAAGAGCCCCCUAACAAAAACCGUAUAUUGGAGCUUCUAUACCUAAUAUUUGCUGUACCGUUGCUGUUUACUGGAGGGAGGGGUGGCUUGUUUGGCAGUGAUCCCAAUGGUGGAGGAAGAAAUGGUGGUGUUAUAACGGAAGAUCCAUGCUGCUGAUGAAAUCUACACAUGUCUGCAGAUUUACACAUGUUUUAUUCAGGGAGAGCAGAUCUAAAACUACAAAGCUCAAAAAUACUUACGUAUAAUAAUUUCUGCUUGGGGCUAAACAUUUUAAUAGACGUCAGAAAAACGUUCAUGUUGGACGCAGAUCUCAGAAAGACAUUAAAAUACCGAUUUUAGUAUUU